rnacentral:rRNA from 1 species
GAUGAACGCUGGCGGCGUGCCUAAUACAUGCAAGUCGAGCGAACAGAUAAGGAGCUUGCUCCUUUGACGUUAGCGGCGGACGGGUGAGUUACACGUGGAUAACCUACCUAUAAGACGGGGAUAACUUAGGGAAACCGGAGCUAAUACCGGAUAACAUAUUCAACCGCAUGGUUCAAUAGUGAAAGGCGGCUUUCCUUUCACUUAUAGAUGGAUCCGCGCCGUAUUAGCUAGUUGGUAAGGUAACGGCUUACCAAGGCAACGAUACGUAGCCGACCUGAGAGGGUGAUCGGCCACACUGGAACUGAGACACGGUCCAGACUCCUACGGGAGGCAGCAGUAGGGAAUCUUCCGCAAUGGGCGAAAGCCUGACGGAGCAACGCCGCGUGAGUGAUGAAGGUCUUCGGAUCGUAAAACUCUGUUAUCAGGGAAGAACAAAUGUGUAAGUAACUGUGCACAUCUUGACGGUACCUGAUCAGAAAGCCACGGCUAACUACGUG